ensembl:snRNA U4 U4 spliceosomal RNA
AGCUUUGUGCAGUAGCAGUUAUCAUAGACAAUGAGGUUUAUCCAAGCAUGAUUAUUGCUAAUUGAAAACUUUUCCCAAUACCCUGCUGUGACAACUUUGCAAUAUAGUCGACAUUGGCAAUUUUUGACAGUCUCCAUAUAUGAAGA